rnacentral:ncRNA from 1 species
GCAAAGUAGAAUGAUAUGCGGUAGUGUCUUUGGAACGGGGAGAUGUCCAAAGAACGAAUUGCUCACAGCAAUGUGGGAUGGCGGUAUGUCAUUCGCAUCCCGUUG